AAACAUUCUAUGAGUCAAAACAAGCAUCUUUUGUGUUGGUCCAAAUCGGGGUAAAAACUUUAAUGCACCUUCUCUCCUCCUUCCUAUCUCCAUUUUCAUUUUUCUUUCUCUACCAACACANCAUUCAUGUUUUCUUCCUCCAUACUACAGAAACAUAAACCCAAGAGNCCAAAGUUCAAAUUCCAAAUCAACACAAGAACAAUAAACACAACAUAUGCUACUUCAAC
rnacentral:lncRNA from 1 species